rnacentral:misc_RNA from 1 species
CCACUGGCGGUCAGCAGCAGC